UACGGAGGGUGCAAGCGUUAAUCGGAAUUACUGGGCGUAAAGCGCGCGUAGGCGGUUUGUUUAGCGAGAUGUGAAAGCCCUGGGCUCAACCUGGGAACUGCAUUUCGAACUGGCAGGCUAGAGUACAAGAGAGGGUGGUAGAAUUUCCUGUGUAGCGGUGAAAUGCGUAGAUAUAGGAAGGAAUACCAGUGGCGAAGGCG
rnacentral:rRNA from 1 species